GACAAACAAGUUGUGGGUCUGUAGGGUUCUUGGUUGGAUGCUACGCAUCCUUGGAAGGGGACAUGGUAUGUGUGGCGUGGUAACUUCAACAUUGUACCAUGUCUUCUUUGUCUCCCUUUCUAGUCUAAAAAGUUCGAAUAAGAAAAAUGACAAGAAUCUAUAAUGUUUGUGCAUGCAUGUAUUCAUAAGCGGCUAGAAAAUGUGGAGUAUGGAGUGGUUUUGUGCCCAUAUAUUGUUUUCCUCUUUGAUGAGAGUCGUUCUACUUUCUUCCUUCCACACAUCACGAACCACGUUGUGAACCAUAUCUUUGUUAUCAGUGAGAUGCAUAUCGGGUGUCUAUAAAGUAUCCUUCGGCCUCGUUUGGUGGUUUGACUUGGACUAGAUUGGAGUUGAGUUCAAACAAGUCCUUAUAAGUUCCACUCAUCUAGAUUAUUGAUCGUUUUAAUAAGUUCAGCCCAGUAUAUCAA
rnacentral:lncRNA from 1 species